CAGGGAGACAACAAAAUGUUAAAUAUUAAUUUUGUCACCUUAGGUCGAUCGGUAUCUCACAUUCUUAAUUUAUUAAGGAUUUUAUUUCCUAAGUUUUUUCUAGGUCACACCCAUUACUUUUCCUGGGCCAUUAGCUCAGGUGGUUAGAGCGCACCCCUGAUAAGGGUGAGGUCCCUGGUUCAAGUCCAGGAUGGCCCAUAUCUCUAUGUUGGGGGUAUAGCUCAGUUGGUAGAGCGCCUGCUUUGCAAGCAGGAUGUCAGCGGUUCGAGUCCGCUUACCUCCACUGAUUACCACCUCUUCCAUAAUUUUAAGAAGGGAAAAUUUUGAGUUGUGAUCAAAUUCUGAACGAAUCUAGCUUCCUAAUGCAACAUUAAGAUGCUGGAUUCAUUGAAUUAAUUUCAUUGUUUUCAGAGAACCUUGACAACUGCAUAGAUUAUUUUUAAAGACAAUUAGCAUCUUUAACGAUGCAGAUUUAUUAUUUUUGCAAAUGCAUUAAUAACAAUUCUAUUAAGCUGAUGCUUCAA
rnacentral:tRNA from 1 species